rnacentral:tRNA from 2 species
GUGGGUAUAGGAAAGUUUGGUAAUCCGCUUGCUUUGGGAGCAAGAGACCGCAGGUUCGAAUCCUGUUGCCCGCAC